CAGAGGGUAGUUUAGGACAAAAUAUUAAUUUUGGGGAUUAAUGAAGAAGAUUUUCUUUCCGUCUGA
rnacentral:tRNA from 1 species